AUACUUGUAUUGAAAUUUCAGAUUGUAUAUAUAUAUUUUCUCCUGGGCUUGGAUAGGUUUAGAUUUGAUCUCCUACAUAUGGGGUUAAAGGGUUUAAUCCGUUUUAUUUUUCUCUGUCUGUUUCAAAAUUUUUGAAAUCUACACAUGCUGCCUAUCUGAUUUUCUAACAGUAGAUUUUUUGACUCAAUGGUGCACUUACCUAUUCGUUUGCUAUAUGAAACAAGAG
rnacentral:lncRNA from 1 species